GACGAACGCUGGCGGCGUGCUUAACACAUGCAAGUCGAACGGAAAGGCCCUGCUUUUGUGGGGUGCUCGAGUGGCGAACGGGUGAGUAACACGUGAGUAACCUGCCCUUGACUGUGGGAUAACUUCAGGAAACUGGGGCUAAUACCGGAUAGGAGCUCCUGCUGCAUGGUGGGGGUUGGAAAGUUUCGGCGGUUGGGGAUGGACUCGCGGCUUAUCAGCUUGUUGGUGGGGUAGUGGCUUACCAAGGCUUUGACGGGUAGCCGGCCUGAGAGGGUGACCGGCCACACUGGGACUGGGAUACGGCCCAGACUCCUCCGGGAGGCAGCGGUGGGGAAUAUUGCACUAUGGGCGGAGGCCUGAUGCAGCAACGCCGCGUGCGGGAUGACGGCCUUCGGGUUGUAAACCGCUUUCGCCUGUGACGAAGCGUGAGUGACGGUAAUGGGUAAAGAAGCACCGGCUAACUACGUG
rnacentral:rRNA from 1 species